AGCUUGGCCACUAUAGGAAAGAGAAGAUCCUUUAAGCAGAGACGCUGGUGCCAAGCCCACUCCUGAGACCCUACCUGGAGGCAUUCAGCUCAGUCCUGAAGGAGUAACAGGGCGAAUACAAUAAUGCAAGAACCUCCUCCCAUAUGCCAUUAAAACCUUUCUUUAGGACACUGAAAUCAAUAAUUUCAGCAUUUCUUGCGAUGAGUAAAGCUUUGGGGAAAUAUUUUCACUGCAUAUGAAGGAAGACAUGCAUCUGUGCCUUUAAAGGGUGAGGCAGACCCAAAAUAUCACCAUGUGGCUUGCAAGGAAAAGCCUGCAACUUCUCCCUGGUGUGUGCUUGUGUUCACCAGAUUCAUCAAAUCUAAAAUAAAUGAUGAUUUCCCAGGCUAUUGUGUUUAACAAA